rnacentral:rRNA from 1 species
GUGAGGAAUUUUCCGCAAUGGGCGAAAGCCUGACGGAGCAAUGCCGCGUGAAGGAUGAAGGCCUAUGGGUUGUAAACUUCUUUUCUCAGAAAAGAAUUAUGACGGUAUCUGAGGAAUAAGCAUCGGCUAACUCUGUGCCAGCAGCCGCGGUAAGACAGAGGAUGCAAGCGUUAUCCGGAAUGAUUGGGCGUAAAGCGUCUGUAGGUUGUUUAAAAAGUAUUCUGUCAAAGAUUAGGGCUUAACCCUAGAUAGGCAGAAUAAACUUUUAAGCUAGAGUUUGGUAGAGGCAGAGGGAAUUCCCGGUGGAGCGGUGAAAUGCGUAGAUAUCGGGAGGAACACCAAAGGCGAAGGCACUCUGCUGGGCCAAUACUAACACUGAGAGACGAAAGCGAGGGGAGCAAAUGGGAUUAGAAACCCCAGUAGUC